AAAGAAACUAAGGUUCAGAGAUACUGAGAGACUUGCCAAUUAAUAAAGGGGCAGAGCUGGGUUCAAACACCCAAGUUUCUGACUUGAAACACACCUGUUCCACUACCCCACCAACCCUGUGAAUGUGAGCAGCAUUCACAAUGCCUGGAAGCCCCGAGAGGAAACAGCAGAAUUACAUUUCUGCAGAUCAGCAAUUCAAGAACAGCUUGGCUGUUGGGUUCUGGCUUGGAGCCUCAAGCAUUGCAACCAUGUGUUGGCUGGGACUGCAGUCAUCUGAAGGGACUUCAGAUGCUGAACGAGAGGUUGAUGGAGUGAAGAGUGAGGUGAAGAAAAGCAAUAAUAGAACCAAGAUGAGAAUCGUCUGAAGUACAUUGGCCUACAAAGGACCAGAUUCUGGUUCAAGAUGUUGACGUACCCAGUGGAGAUCCUGAAGGAAUGUGAUGCUUAAAGUCAGAGUUGGGAAGAAACUGGGAGGUUUUACUGGGACUCAGGGUUCAGAACGAAGGAUGGAAGAAGAAUUGGGGGAAAGCCAGGUGUCUGCUGAG
rnacentral:lncRNA from 1 species